CAUGGUGGCAGCCCCGCUGAGUUGGGUGGGAUAAACCCGGAGCCCCUGGAGCCGUCUUUAUGAAGUGGGACGAUGCGGUCCAUGGCGUUGUUGUUCUGGUUGGGUGAGGACGGGAGAGGCUGCAAGUUGGACAGUCCGGUGAAACUCGAAUUUAAAGGUGAAAACAUACCUGCGUCUGAAUGCGGUUGAGGCCGCGGCACCAGAGCACGUGGCCCCUCCUCAGCUCCAUCUCGGCGUGGUCGAUCUCAUCCAGGUCCUUCAUCUCCUCCAGCUCCUCCUCAGGGAUCUCCUCCUGCUGCGUGCCGUGACCCGCUGUCUUCAGGAACUUCAGCCAGCUGGAAUCAUGGCAGAAAGCAUCUUACCUGUCCCCACAGAAGGCUGCCGAUGCCGAAGAAGAGACACCACAGCCACUGCUCGGGGGUCAGACUCACACAGCUGAAUGGUUUACCACCAAACUGGACGAUGACGAUCUACAGGAGCAAAGCGAGAUCGUUUCUUAAUCACUUUGCAUCACAAACCUGACCAGGU